GGGCUUUGGAGUUGGAAUUUGAGGCAUUACUGAGGAGUGGCUUUGGCUUUCACAGAUGAAAACCAAAAUGAAUGAGAUUUUAGAUCUGAUUUGAAAGAGAAACUUUUUUUUGCUAGAAGAAGGCCGGAAUUAGGUGAGGUGAGCACAGAGUGUAUGAUAAGAGGCAACUUGGUGUCGGAGGAGAGGCUCCAAUCAAUUUCAGUUUUCACGUUCACGUUAG
rnacentral:misc_RNA from 1 species